AGCGAACGCUGGCGGCAGGCCUAAUACAUGCAAGUCGAACGGCUCUUCGGAGCAGUGGCGGACGGGUGAGUAACGCGUGGGAACGUGCCCUUUGGUUCGGAACAACACAGGGAAACUUGUGCUAAUACCGAAUGUGCCCUUCGGGGGAAAGAUUUAUCGCCAUUGGAGCGGCCCGCGUUGGAUUAGCUAGUUGGUGGGGUAAAGGCCCACCAAGGCGACGAUCCAUAGCUGGUCUGAGAGGAUGAUCAGCCACACUGGGACUGAGACACGGCCCAGACUCCUACGGGAGGCAGCAGUAGGGAAUCUUGCGCAAUGGGCGAAAGCCUGACGCAGCCAUGCCGCGUGAAUGAUGAAGGUCUUAGGAUUGUAAAAUUCUUUCACCGGGGAAGAUAAUGACGGUACCCGGAGAAGAAGCCCCGGCUAACUUCGUG
rnacentral:rRNA from 1 species